GAUGAAGAACGUAGCGAAAUGCGAUAAGUAGUGUGAAUUGCAGAAUUCAGUGAAUCAUCGAAUCUUUGAACGCACAUUGCGCCUCCUGGUAUCCCGGGAGGCAUGCCUGUUCGAGCGUCAUUAAAAUCACUCAAGCUUAGGUUUACCUAUUGCUUGGUCUUGGAGAUGGAAGCCAAUUUAUUGGAAUCCUCUUCGAAAUUCAAUGGCGAAGACCCUUGCUCUCCCAAGUGUAGUAAUAACUUAUGUCACUGAAGGAAGCGAGAAAUCUUCUGCCGUAACCCCCAUAUUUUCUAUGAUUGACCUCGGAUCAGGUAGGGAUACCCGCUGAACUUAAGCAUAUCAAUAAGCGGAGGA
rnacentral:misc_RNA from 1 species